rnacentral:rRNA from 1 species
AACGAACGUUGGCGGCGUGGAUUAGGCAUGCAAGUCGAACGCGAAUCCCUGGGCAACUGGGGAGGAGAGUGGCGAAAGGGGCAGUAAGGCGUGGGUAACCUACCCUCCGGGCCGGGAUAGCUUCGGGAAACUGAAGGUAAUACCGGGCGACGCAGCGAGAUCGCAUGGUCUUGCUGCCAAAGGUCCGCCGCCGGGGGAGGGGCUCACGUGGUAUUAGCUAGACGGCGGGGUAACGGCCCACCGUGGCAAAGAUGCCUAGCAGGUGUGAGAGCACGACCUGCGCCACUGGCACUGAGACACUGGCCAGACACCGACGGGUGGCUGCAGGCGAGGAUCUUCGGCAAUGGGCGCAAGCCUGACCGAGCGACGCCGCGUGUGCGAUGAAGGCCUUCGGGUUGUAAAGCACUGUCGAGGGGGAGGAAGCCGCAAGGUUGACCUAUCCCUGGAGGAAGCACGGGCUAAGUUCGUG